GGGAAUGCCGACGUUGACACUGGCUACCUCCUCAGCUGGGUAAACAUAUGGCUCCCUGAUCACCGGUGGGCUCCGGUUGCAGUAGAGGCCAUGUCCAACCGGCCUGUCAUAGGGGUAAGGGGAGGCUGUGGUGUAUGAUGGGUGGGACGGGGAGGCUGUGGCGUAUGUUGGGUGGGAAGGGGAGGCUGUGGCAUAUGCGGUGUGGGAAGGGGAGGUCAUGGCGUAUGCGGUGUGGGAAGGGGAGGUCGUGGCAUAUGCGGUGUGGGAAGGGGAGGUCGUGGCAUAUGAGGUAUGGGAAGGGGAGGUCGUGGCAUAUGAGGCAUGGGAGGGAGACUGGGUAAAUGUGGUGGGAGCUGGGAAAGAAGACACACAAGCAUUGUUAGUGAGACGACCUGCCUUGGCAGGAGGCAUUGGGCCUCCAUUGCUUGCACGGAUGCGCUUGGUUGCAGGGCCGCUGCUGCUGCCACUGGUAGCGCUUGAUGCUGCCUUUUUCUUCUCAGUCUUGGCUUUCUCCAGCUCUUCAAGUUGCUUCCGAAGAUCCUCCAGUGA
rnacentral:lncRNA from 1 species